AAACUUCAGCCAGAGAGACAGCUGUUUUGAAAAUCUUCUCAUGGACGAAGAGCAGUGGCUCCAGGUUGCUUGAUGUGCCUACAUGCUCCUCUGGAUCCUCCUUGGUGUCCAUAGUCUUUGGAAGUGAUCAAGAUUCCACGCCACCACCAUCAUUAUGUGUUGGAAAACAGCAGAUGGCCUGGAACUUGUGAAGAAAUCAUAUGCACUGCACUCAAGUACUGUUGUGGGGUGACCUGUUGCCUGACAAGGAUGGGGACAGC